rnacentral:rRNA from 1 species
UACGUAGGUGGCAAGCGUUGUCCGGAUUUACUGGGCGUAAAGAGCGCGCAGGCGGUCGGAUAAGUCGAAUGUGAAAGCCCCGGCUCAACUGGGGAGGGUCACGCGAUACUGAUCGACUCGAAGGCAGGAGAGGGUAGUGGAAUUCCCGGUGUAGUGGUGAAAUGCGUAGAUAUCGGGAGGAACACCAGUGGCGAAGGCGACUACCUGGCCUGUUCUUGACGCUGAGGCGCGAAAGCUA